rnacentral:rRNA from 1 species
AAUGAACGCUGGCGGCGCGCCUAAUACAUGCAAGUCGAGCGAGAAGACGUAACAAUACGUUUGUAAAGCGGCGAACGGGUGAGGAAUACAUGGGUAACCUACCCUCGAGUGGGGAAUAACUAGCCGAAAGGUUAGCUAAUACCGCGUACGCUCCUUGGACUUCGGUUCAGGGAGGAAAGCGAUACCGUGGGUAUCGCGCUCUUGGUUGGGCUCAUGUCCUAUCAGCUUGUUGGUGAGGAACGGCUCACCAAGGCUUCGACGGGUAGCUGGUCUGAGAGGACGAUCGGCCACACUGGCACUGCGACACGGGCCAGACUCCUACGGGAGGCAGCAGUAAGGAAUAUUGCGCAAUGGGCGAAAGCCUGACGCAGCGACGCCGCGUGGGGGA